rnacentral:lncRNA from 1 species
AAGUGAUUGCUCCUUCAGGAGCUGGACCACUCUAAAACUGGAGGAAAUGAAAGCUAUUGGUUGGAUCUAGAGGAAAACAUACUGACUUCUGGAAAGAUUAAGGAGCUAAAGAUCAGCCAAAAAGAACUUCAGCUUUCCACUGUGAAGGAAUUACGUGGAUUUCUCCUUUUAAUCUGAAGGAACUCCUUAAAUAGAAAACCAAAUAACCCCAAGCCUCUUCUGUUGCAGGAAACACUAGUGUGGAAUGCCAAAAACAGAUACAGCAAUGCAUGUUGGCUGCAGUAUAAAUCCAGCUGUAGAUAUGGGACAGAAUAAAACUCUUACAGAAAUAGAAGCUUUUUUGAAUAAUAACCUCUUAACUGCAAUAGAAAUAAGCAGUCUUUCUGAGAAUCUUCAGAGUUCUCUUCCCCUGUCAGAUGGUCCAAGCAGCUGUACUGAUGACCAGUUCAGGAGUACAUGUCAGUCAGCCAGAUCUCUGGAACUGCCAGUGAAGCUUCCUUUAAUUGCAACGUCUAACGCAAAACAGCAGGAUAGCCCUUCUGUUUGUGAAGUACUAAAUUCUUGUAAAAGUACUACUGUUUUGUCAAAGGAAAUACACUCAGAUCAACUCAGGUUUGCGUUAUCAUUGCCUUCUGAUAGAAAUAAUCAAAGGUCAAAUGAAACAGACCAGGUGGAAGCAACUGUUGACACAAAUACAUUUUUAAAAGAAAAUCAGUUAGAUACAGAACUAAACUGCAACAGUGUCUUCCUGACUCACGUCAAUAAUGCACAAUAUCCGAGACAGUCUGAGGAGUUUACAAAACAAUAUACUGAUAGUUCAUUGUCAUUCUGUGGAAAUGUGACUGAAAGAAAGAAGCAUGCAGUACAUUAUAGGCCAAAAACUCAACCUAAUAUAAAGGAUUUUGAUAAAAAAUGUAGUUCAAAUAAUCUGCUUCAUUGUGGUAUUAAUGGCAGCAGGAACACCAAUGACACGAACUUGCAGGCAAGAUCCAGUGACUUGUCUCGCAGUAUUCCUUCACCUCUUCAGCUCAGCAGUGAAUGUAACAUAGAUUUUAAGAUUCCUGUGGACAAGAUUAAACCUGAAGAAACUGUUUAUGAUGCUGAUAUGGAGUUGACUGUCAGUGAUGUAGGUGAACUACUCACAGUUACAUCAAAAGAUAAAGAUAAACUACAUCAAAAUAAAAAUAGUAAUGCCAAUUCUGAUAAAAUAUCAGCAAAUUUCAGAAGAGUAAAAUAUUCUAAAGAGAAAACUAAAAGCAAGCCUAAAGUAAGUUCAAAUUCAUAUGCAGAAGAAAGGUACCCUAAGACUGACAGUAGUACAGAUUCAAAAAUUAAUGACUCAGGAACUCAAAUAUUCCAAAAUCAGACAGAACAGCUACCUACAGGGAAUUCCUUAGAGAAACCGAGUUUAAAAAAUACCAGCAAAUAUUAUCGAGCACAGGAUUGCCCAAGUAAAGCUAAAGAUACUAGGAGGACAUACUUGGUUAACCUAGUGAAUCCAAGGAAACAAGAACAGGAGACAAAUCAAGAAACUUUCCCAGAAAGGUUUGAAGAUGUGGAAAACAAAAUACAAAAAUCAGACUCUAACACUUCUAAUAAUAAGAUCUCACCUGAAGUUUAUUGUGCUGAAAGUUUUCCAUUCCAGGAUAACACCUCUAAUGCAUUGUCUUUACAGCAGGACUUUCUACAUACAAAUGAGAAACGUAUCAGCCCAGAAAUGAACAGGAAAGCCUUUCAGAACCCUUCUAAAAAGAACGCAACAAAAUAUUGUAGAGAGGAAAAUGGACAGUAUAGAGAAUAUGGUUCAAAAAAAUCUCAAACAGAGGUAUGCCAACAUGACUGGAAGAGAAGAGAAGAGCAGAAGAAUAUUAUAAAGAAAAAAUACAACCAAAAAUGUAGUUACAGACGAAGUGGAGAAACUGAAAGUGGUAGUGUUCAUAAAGUUAUUCAGAAAAUAGACCGAAGGAAUAAUAAUGUUUCAUCAGGCAGAUUUAAACAUACAUUAGCAAAAGCUAGCCGGAAAGCAUGUAUAAUACCAACAGAAAACCUUAAGCAAUUCACACUUCGUAGAACUGAAGGGUUAAAAAAUAAGAAUGCAUUGUGCACAGAUGUUGUCCAUGGAAAUAAAAUAGCUAAAACACAGCAAGUACAAGGAGCUUUAGAUUCUCAGAAUGGUGUAGCUAUGAAUACACUGCAAGCUAGUUCCUCCACAAAACAGGUGGCUGAUGACAGUACUGACAUGUUAAAGAAAGAGGUAGAUCCCUCAUCAGUGGCACAUAAAAAGCCUUACCUUAUUAAUUCUCCUGAUGAUCAGGUAAAGAACCAAGGGAGCUUCAUUUCUGAUUUUACUGAGAUCAGACCAGAAGAAAAGGAUUUCAGGAAUGUUGACCAAGGGGAGCAGAAUAUUUUGGACAACCAGAAAGUCCUGCCUGAGAUAAGUUCCUUUAUGAGCAAUUUAAAGUCUACAGUUCAAAAAUCAGAAUUUUUAAAAUUCUUACCUGUAGACUGCUCUGAGAAUAUGCCAUUAAGUUCAGGUAGCUUUUUUCAGGAAGGUCUUCCCCAUGUGGAGUUCCCAGUUGUUGAUUACCAUAAUGUUUCAGUGAACUUCUCUAUCCUGAAAAACUCUGAAAUCUGUGGAAAAAAUGAUCAUACUAAAACACUGGAUGCUGAAAUAGCAGAGCAAAAACUGGAUCAUACUUCUACAGAAACUUAUAAAAAGUCUCUGUCACUUUGUCAUGGGAGAAAGGCUUUGCAAGAUCUGACAAAUACCAGUAUACAUUCUCAGGUUUCCUUACCUAAAUCCCCCAAAACUUUAGAAGAAAACUCAGCAGCACGAGCUAGACGAGGAAGAGCUGCUAUUUGCUACAAAGAACCCAAACUAAACAGCAAAUUAAGGCGUGGAGAUCAGUUUACAGAUACAGAUUUUCUGGAUUCCCCAGUCUAUAAAGUAAAAAAUAAAAGAAGUUUUAAAAGUAAAUCAAAAUUUAUUUGAAGAAGACAAGAGAAUUGCCUUUAUGAACAGUAUUUUUAACAUGUAUACUUUUUUUUUUUCCAAAAUGGUAUAGACUGCUUAUUGUUCUUUGAUUAAUAAAGGUAAAACACAGCCUUCCA